AAGUCGUAACAAGGUUUCCGUAGGUGAACCUGCGGAAGGACCAUUAACACUGAUAAUCCAAAACCUUUGGAUCAACCCAACCUUAGCGAACCUAGCGAAGGGAGUCUGGCCCUCUGUUUUUUUCUCCUCGGACUUGUGUCGCCCUUUCCGACGCCUUUCCUCCCCACUCCUCGGUGGGCGGGGCGGGUCGGCGAGAUGGUAGGGCAACCAACACAAGCCCCCUGGUAAAAAACAUGCCGGACGACCGAACUUUUACCUUUGCCUUUUACCAUAUAAACCCAACGAAAUUCUGAUGUAAAGUGUCUGAUUUCAUAUUCUGAGGACGGCUCGAAAGGGGCGUUCGCGGAAUCAAAAUCUAACGCAAUACAACUCUUAACAACGGAUAUCUUGGCUCUC
rnacentral:misc_RNA from 1 species